rnacentral:tRNA from 1 species
CGGGGCGUGGCGCAGUUGGUAGCGCGCAUCGUUUGGGACGAUGAGGCCGAUGGUUCAAGUCCAUUCGCCCCGA